rnacentral:rRNA from 1 species
UACGGGGGGGGUAAGCGUUGUUCGGAAUUACUGGGCGUAAAGGGCUCGUAGGCGGCCAACUAAGUCAGACGUGAAAUCCCUCAGCUUAACUGGGGAACUGCGUCUGAUACUGGAUGGCUUGGAUUCGGGAGAGGAAUGCGGAAUUCCAGGUGUAGCGGUGACGUGCGUAGAUAUCUGGAGGAACACCGGUGGCGAAGGCGGCAUUCUGGACCGACAUUGACGCUGAGGAGCGAAAGCCAGGGGAGCAAACGGG